CCUACGGGGUGCAGCAGUGGGGAAUAUUGGACAAUGGACGCAAGCCUGAUGCAGCAAUGCCGCGUGAAGGAAGACGGCUUUAGGAUUGUAAAAUUGUAUCUAUAGGGGAGAAAGAGCAGAUGGUCGUAACAUACGGAGAGUAGGGUACGUACGUGCCAGCAGCCGCGGGAAGCCGUAGGGUGCAAGCGUUAUCCGGAUUUACUGGGUGUAAAGGGAGAGUAGGCGGAAAGGUAAGCUAUAUGGGAAAUCCCUAAGCUUAACUUAUGAAUUGCAUCAAGAACUAUAUAGCUAGAGUUUAGUGGAGGAAGGCGGAAUUUCUAGUGUAGCGGUGAAAUGCUUAGAGAUUAGGAAGAACACCAGUUGCGAAGGCGGCUUACUAGACUACAACUGACGUUGAGGCUCGAAAGCGUGGGGAGCAAACAGGAUUAGAUACCCGAGUAGUC
rnacentral:rRNA from 1 species